CUGCCCCACUCCUCCGCCUUGCACGAUUACACUCUUGCUGCCUUUUGGUUCAACGCUGUUCCCCCAUUACAGGUAAACACGCAGCCAGAGCACUCUUGCCUGGCACAAAACUAUAGUCCCCCACCCUUCGUCUCGUAUUUCUCCCUCAGCACCACCCAUCCAGAAGUUCAAGAUGUCCGUUGUCGGCACUCUUAGCACGUACAUGGCCGCGACCGACUCACGCGACAAGAUGAUCAAGGGCGCCGGGUGCUUCUUCAAGAUGAUGGGCGCCCUUUACGGCAACCCCAACUUCAUGAAGACAGGCGCGGCCAUGUCCGAUGCACGCUGCUUGAUACGCAUGCUGUCGUGGCUCAGUAACGUGCAGAAGAUCAGUGACGCAAUGGAGAAGCGCAUUGUACAGCCGCGCGACGUUCUGUUUGUGCUGCGGGUGCUGUUCGACGGCAUCUUCAGCCUCCUCGACAACAUCGUGUUCGCCGGGCGCUUCUUCAACCCCAAUUCGCCAAGCCUGUCACAGCUGUCGUAUGUCUCGCGUGCAGCCCUCUUCUACGGCUAUGCCAUGGCUGUAGUGCUCGACAUUUAUGACCUCGUGCGGGAUCCGACAAUGCCGAAGCGCGGUGACCGCUGCCUGGUGCUGACGCGCAACGCCUGCGAUAUGGUUUCAGCCAUCGGCAAUGUGUGCACUGUGGACAUCGGUGGGGCCAAUGUCGCUGGACUGGGUCUCAUCAGCGCCAUUAUCGCGACCCGUGAGCAGCUCCUGGCGGCGGCCGCCAAAUCUGGUGGCAACACCAUCGGCGCUAUCCCAGCGAGGGCGGCUGCGCAGCAGCCAAAGAAGUGAGGGUUCUCUUCGUUUCAACGCAUGCCCGGCGGUAGGGUGUGCUCGGCUGCUUUUUUUUUCCGUUUCUCUUUUCCGUCCAUCCGUAGGCUUCGUUCUGAACACCAGUGCUGGGCGCACUCCGUCACUGCGCUUCCCCCCUCCCCCACUCUCUUACAACCUCCAACGCUUUUUUCAUUUGCCUGUUUUACUCUUUUUUUGAUUUUGUUGUAUACACAUGCACGAAUAG
rnacentral:misc_RNA from 1 species